rnacentral:rRNA from 2 species
GCACUUUAAGUUGGGAGGAAGGGCAUUAACCUAAUACGUUAGUGUUUUGACGUUACCGACAGAAUAAGCACCGGCUAACUCUGUGCCAGCAGCCGCGGUAAUACAGAGGGUGCAAGCGUUAAUCGGAAUUACUGGGCGUAAAGCGCGCGUAGGUGGUUUGUUAAGUUGAAUGUGAAAUCCCCGGGCUCAACCUGGGAACUGCAUCCAAAACUGGCAAGCUAGAGUAUGGUAGAGGGUGGUGGAAUUUCCUGUGUAGCGGUGAAAUGCGUAGAUAUAGGAAGGAACACCAGUGGCGAAGGCGACCACCUGGACUGAUACUGACACUGAGGUGCG